ensembl:lncRNA
GUAAGGGAAUUAGGGGAAGCGAGGUUGGGAGAAAGAACAAGAUUGGCACUUUACAGGAACAGAUCACUUUUAAUGAGGCGAGAAGCGGCAGCAGUCAGAUUAGUGAGCUGCAGCACCGACCCAGUGGAGAAGGAAAUGGCAGCUCACUCCAGUGUGCUCUUGCCUGGAGAAUCCCAGGGGCGGGGGAGCCUGGUGGGCUGCCGUCUAUGGGGUCGCACAGAGUCGGACACGACUGACGCGACUCAGCAGCAGCAGCAGCAGCAGCAGCACUGACCCAAGGAAAGACAGGCCCUCUUCGUGUAGAAAAUGCCACAACAUCCUGUAAGAUUAACAACAAAUUAGCCAAGACAGCGAGCUGGCAAAGCGGUCUGCACGAUGUCUCCUCUACGGGAAGACUCUCUUGCAGCCGCUGAAGUCUUUCGGGGGCCGAUUUCGGUUUCAUUUGAAACGACGCUGCAGUCACAACUCGGUGGCCCAAAAUGUGUGCUGAGUGAAGAGCUGCCUUUUAAUCUCAUUAUAGAAGCGUGCCUCUUAGAGAAUUCAGCUCAGUGCUGUUCACUUAGUGUCUGACUCUCUGCGAGCCCAUAGACUGCAGCAUGCCAGGAUUUCCUGUCCAUCACCAACUCCUGGAGCUUGCUCAAACUCAAGUCCAUCGAGUCUCUGAUGCCAUUCAACCAUCUCCUCCUCUGCCUAGAAAAUUAGGAGGACCAUUCAUCCCAAAUUCCUGCCCUGAGGGAACUGACAAUCAGGCCAGUGAGGCACCUGCAGUGGGCUGACCCAGCGAAUUAGGCACGAUGCCUUGGACACCAGCUCCCGGGGCCCAGGGCUGUGGACAGACAGCCAGGCCAGAGCACCCAGGUCUCCUGACUCCCAGCUUUGCAGCCCUGCUGCCGUGGCUUUCGCCGGCAGACGGGCCAGGCCUCCCUGAUGGCUCUCAGGUGGCCAGCCUCAGCUUCCAGCUGCCCUCUGCUAGGUUUCUACCAAGACGCUGGGUGAUGAUCAUCCAUCUAGUCAAGGAUGAGGCUCGCUGUUGAGAAGUGAUCACACCGAGUCCUGUCAGGAAUGAAAAGAGCAACCCGACAUCUGACGCAUCAGGAAUUCGCGGAUCGCCGGCCAGCUCCUCCUCUAACCCUGGCCUCCCUUGUGUGACCCCUGGGCAGAGGUCCACAGCCCCUGAGGGGCCAGGGCAGCCCAGCUUGACAGGAGGACCAGCUGGAGUAAUUCUGGUCUGGCAGCGUUUACCAAGACUCAGGCCAUGGAAGCUUCUGGUUACUAAGACCCUAGAAAGGGCAGGACCUCUGUGGGACUGGCCCACGCAGGGUCUCAGGCCCCCUCUCCCCCAAGAAGGGGCGCCGUGAGGGUGGGGGCGGGCAGUGCCCCCCGGGGUUGGGGAGCAAUACAGGCGCACAUGGCCCAGUCUCUGGUCGCAGACUCUCCUUGGCCGCAAAUAACAACUUAGAUUAGAAAACGAGGGGUUGUUUAUCACAUGAAGAGAGGUCCAGGAGAGGUGGCUGCUGACUCUUAAAGUCACCCCCAGAGAGCCAGCCCCUGGAAGAAGCCUGUGCCCGGGUGAACCGGGAGGGCUGCUCUGACUUGCUGAUUUGUGCUCUGCAGCCGUGACUGGAGGUUUCCUGCAUUUCUAGUCUGGAUUCUAGACAGACUUGCCCUGUGAUACAUCUGCCAAGGGGAAGACCACCUUCACCAGCUUGGGGCAGGGGCUUCUCUGCGUGACCCGGACCUCCCAGCUCCCCUCACUCCUGGGGUGCAGUUGAUCCCACCACGGCGUGGGGCUGUCCACACAGCAGUGACUCAGGAGCAGCCACUGCUCUGCAGAGGUGGGACAUCCCCGCCACGCGCGUGCACUGUGGACCCGUGGACCCGGGGGAGCUGGAGCUGGCUGUGUGAGGGGGCACCGCGUUCAUGAUUAAGUGGGUCUGGACGAUCCGAACAUGAUGUAUAAACCUCAGACUGGAGCUUCCUAAUCUGAAAAUCAGCACCACAAAAUCCUGGGAGAGCCCUCAAAUGGGAUUUGAACGGAAUAGGAACUGGUCACUUCUGAGGGCCUGCUCCCCUCAGACUCGGAGAGAGGAGGUUGGAAGGAAGGGGCAGCGACUGGGGGUGUUGGGCAGACCUGCCGAGCCCUAGACCAGAGCCGACUCUGCGCCCGGCCCUGGACUUCGGACACGUCCCGACGCCAGCUCCGCCAGCACUGAGAGUGGGCACGUCCUCGCGUUGGUGGCAGAGGUGGGUGGGGACUGCAGGCCUGCAGGCGGCCAGCCCGCAGACCCUCCCCACCGCGGGCCCGUCUCCAGCUGCCUUAGAGCUUGGGGACGUUCUGGUGCCUCCACUGGACCCAUCCCAGCGAAGGGAGAGGGGCGGGCCUGGCCUCACACUUAGAAGCCCCGCUGUGGAAGCCCGUCUGCAGCGGCUGGGCUGCUAGGUUCGGACCAAGUGUCUGCUGCUGCGUCCUGGAGGCCAGACUGCUGGGGAAGGGGGUGAGGACGCUCAGCUGCCCACGAUGGAUGGCCUCUCUGGGCGCUGGUCAUGCACACCGCAGGAGAGCCCCGUCCAGCAGAGAGGAGCUCCAGGAGCUCCAGAGGAAGUCUCUGCACCCCUUGUCGGCCCAGUGCCUGGGGGCAGAGUGGGGCAAUGUCCAGGAGCUGGGGUGGGG